rnacentral:rRNA from 1 species
CACGUAGGGUGCGAGCGUUGUCCGGAAUUAUUGGGCGUAAAGAGCUCGUAGGCGGUGUGUCGCGUCGGCCGUGAAAACCUGCAGCUUAACUGGGGAACUGCGUCCGAUACUGGAUGGCUUGGAUUUGGGAGAGGGAUGCGGAAUUCCAGGUGUAGCGGUGAAAUGCGUAGAUAUCUGGAGGAACACCGGUGGCGAAGGCGGCAUCCUGGACCAAUAUUGACGCUGAGGAGCGAAAGCCAGGGGAGCAAACGGG